GAUUGUUUACUUACAGCUAAACCUUUAGACAGGAGGCCAACUCUCAGUGGUCACUUUCAAAUAGGUUUACUUUGGACUGGCAAGAUUUAAAAAAAAUCCACAACUUUCAAAUAGACAUGUGAAUAAUGCCAGUAUUCUUGACUUUAUCUGUUUUUCUGAAGUAUUUACUCUACUCUCUCUAAGGGAACACCUUAGGGGAGUACUAUGGAUUUAAGAGAAUGACUUUAAUGGGGACUCUGUGUCCAGUCCUAAAGUAAGGAGUGUAGUUGAUUGGAUGGUGACCAACAGAUUUGAGGUGGCAUCGUCAGUUCUGCAGAGUUAAAAGAGCUCCACUGCCAGCUCCUGCAUUAUACAUAAGUAGAAAGGAAGAAAGAUGAGCUAAAGAUCUUGGAAAGUAGAAAAUCUAAUUGUUGUUCUGGAUUCUAAACAUUACCUGUGUGGCCUUAGAUAAACUUGAAUCUUUUCAUAUGUAAAAUAAAGGAAGUUAAAUUGAAAGAUUUCUAA